GGAGCGAAAGAGAAUGAGUAGACAGUGUAGAUGGUUGAGAAAAGACAUGAAAGCGAUGAGGCAGAGAAUGAGUACCUGAAUGCAUGGGAAGCUUAUGUGAAACAAACGCUCCCAAGGCGUAUGAUAAUGAAAGCUAAAGUGAAGUGUGAAAGUGUGAUUGAAUCUUUGAAAGAAAGGCAUGGAAGGUGGCCGUGAAUGAUAAAAAAGUUCAUGAGUUGAGAAUAUGUCGGAGAAUGUUGGGGUGGAGAGUCUGAAAGUGAAUGGGGAAGUUAAAGAAGAAUGAGAUCGGGGAGGCAAUUGGACAGUUCUGGGAAGAGGUGGGUGGUGUAGGUGAAGUGUUUGGUGUGAGAAGGAUGUGCGACUCUGGUGAGAAAGAAUGCAGAUGAACUUAAAUGACUGAGAAAAAAAGAGGGAGGCAAACUGUAUUUGGGUUUUUUGGAUAGAAAAAGCUUAUGAUAGGGUGGAUAGAGAAAUGUUAUCCGAGUCUUAGGAAAGAUUGGGUUGAGUGAAAAAAUAAUAAACAUAGUGCAUAGCAUGUAUGUUGACACCAAAGCAAAAUACAGACUAGGAGAUAGAGACAGACUGGGUGAAAAGUAAGAGUAAAAGAGGAGUUGGGCAAGGAUGUAUUUUGUCACCAACCCUUUGUUUGUAUACAGAGGAGUCAGCAGCCAGAUUGAGAAGAAUGACUGCAGGAGUAAGAGUUGGGAAUGAGAAGAUAGGGGGUGCUCCUUUAUGCAGGUGUGGUGGUCGUUAGUGAGUCAGAAGUUGAGUUGCAGAGAAUGCUGGAUGUUGUGGAUGGAUAUGGGAGAGAUUUGGGAGUUUGGUUUAGUAGCGAGAAAAGUAAGGUGAUGAUAGUGAAUAGGUCUGAGGAUGAAAGCAAUGCAGUAUGGAAAAUUGGAGAGAAAGAGAUGAAUCAGGCGCGAGAAUAUAAGUACUUGGGGAUGUGGGUGAGUCCAAGCGGGUGUGAAAAGACAAAGAAUGAAAAGCUAGGUUUAGUGAAUCAGUGGCUAGGACGAUUGAAAAGCUAGGUUUAGUGAAUCAUUGGCUAGGACGAUUGGGGAGUGCAGCAAGAAUGAGAGCAAGCAAAGAUGAUGUGCUGCGAGAGGUGUGGAAGAGUGUGGCGGUGCCCAGCAUAAUGUAUGGUAUGGAUGCGAUUGCAUGGAAUGAAAGUGAAAUUGACAAGCUAGAAGUGGGACAGAAUAGAAUAGGUAGAAUGGCACUGAAUACACAAAGAUACACGGCAGUAGAAGCUUUGAGAGGUGACAUGGGAUGGAGCACCUUUAGGGAAAGACUAGUUAAAGCCACACUUAGAUACAAGGUCAGGUUGGAAAGAAUGGAUGAUGAAAGAAUAGUGAGGAAGGUGUACCUGUGGAAUGAAAGUGGGAGUCGUGGAGGAUGAGGUGCAUGAGAAUGAGAGAGGAGUGGUUUACAAGUGGUAUGGGGGAUGAGAAUGGCUGGAAGAAAUCAAAAUGAGCGUGAUUGGAUCGUGACAAAGGAGGCAGGGUAGGAACUGAAUGCGAUGCGAGGAAAUGGAAGAGCGAGAUAGACAGGUGAACUGGAUGGGACUGAAUAUAUGGAAGAAUGGGAUGGAACGAAAUAGUACCCUGGAAUGGUACAAGGAAACGGAAGCUCCGAUGUAUGAAAGGUGGUAUGGUGGCAGCCUGGGUGAUGACCAUCUCUUGCGAGCUAGGGCACAAUGUAUGGAUGUGAAUGGAAGGAACUGCAGGUGGUCUGAGUCCCGCAGCAAGGUGUGCCAGAUGUGACAUGGGGGAGGAUGAGACGGUGGAGCAUGUCAUGCUGGAGUGAGAAGUAUGAGCGAGACAGGCAUGAUAUUAUGCAAGUGAUCUUUAGUGAAUUAGGGCAUAAUAGGAAUGAAAGAGUGGAGAAGGCAGGAAGGGAAUGGAUGGGGUUGCUUCUGGGACUGUGUAGAGAUGAGUGAAAGGAUGGAGGCUGUGAAGGAGUAUCUGGAAAGAAUGUGGCGAGCGAGGUGUAGGGAUCAUUAACGAAGAGAAUGCUUUUUUUUUUGUUUUAGUCUUUUUGUCCUUUACAGGAGCUUAGUCUUUUUGUCCUUUACAGGAGCAGCCGAUCCAAAGGCCUGGCUCUGGAGCGAUCCCGAGCCACCUGUAGCAUAAAGAUCAAGCCACAUUUGUUUCAGCCAGCCACAGCAGCGCUCGACUCCGACCUCCCAAGCGUCUGAAGCCCCGGCCGGCAUCCUCAUCUGUGUCCAUGUGGUAGCAGUCCAUCUUUAGGUCUGCCUUUUCAGAAAAGAACACGAACAGCGGAGGCGUGCGGUCCGGCCACAUAUGAUCAUUGGAGGCGUCCUACCACUACUGAAGGAAGAACCAAACCAGCGUGUCCUAAGAACCCUCACCCUGCGACAGAAGACUUGCUCUCUUGCACUGGAAGACGCAAAUGCCGCGCUGCACCUUCCAGGGAGGAAUUGGACCCUGCCUCGCACCAACUCUGCCUUACCCUCACCCUGCGACAGAAGACCGUCUCUUCUUGCACUGUAAGACGCCAAAUGCCGCGCUGCACCUUCCACGGAGGAAUUAAUUGGACCCUUCCUCGCACCAACACUGCCGUGACCACACACAGCGUGGUGCCAUCCAGGAAGGGUAGACACUGCCUCGCUCCAACGCUGCCCCGACCACACAACACGUGGUGCCAUCCAAAAAGGGAGGACACUGCCUCGCACCAACGCUGCCCUGACCACACACAGCGUGGUGCCAUCCAGGAAGGGUAGAUAGACACUGCCUCGCUGCAUCUCUGAUCUAACUAAUGAUAUGAUGUUGCCAAUCCCUCUUGUAAUGUGCUUAUUCUUUCCAUCUAAUGAGAAUGUAAUUGUGUUAUUAAUCCCUCCUUGUUGUAAUGUUUUUAAUCCUUCCAUGUGUUUGUUGUAAUGUUAUUUAUUAAUCCUACCAUGUGUUGUAAUGCAUCCACAUAACUGGUGUUAGUACAAUAAAUAGUAAUUAAG